GCGAAAGCACAAUCCCUCUUGAGAGAUCACCAUGGCCUGGGCACUGGUUUUCCUUACACUUCUCAGCUACUGCUCAGGUGUCAUUUCACAGGCAACUGUGACCCAGCCUGUCUCCACAUCUGGGUCUCUGGGACAAACUGCCAAACUCUCCUGCACCAGAAGCAGCAGUGGGAGCUGGAGCAGCACUUAUUACUGGGUUCAACAGAGACCUGGACAGGCCCCUCGCUUCGUGCACUGUAACGGCUGUAGCAGGGGAGAAGGGAUCCCGGACCGGUUCACUGCCUCUGCCUCAGGAACCACUGCCCAGUUAACCAUCACCAACGUCCAGCCUGAAGACGAGGCAGAUUAUUACUGUGUUGUCUGGUAUAGCACUGGUAGCAUGUUCCACAGUGUUGAAGAAUUAGACUUCAGAGACCCCCUGCAGACGCAGCACCUGUGGUGUGAGUUGAAGCACAAGACUAUUCAGCAUGCACGCCUCCUCUCUGGGGACAUUUUCUUCACUCAUGCUUAG